rnacentral:rRNA from 1 species
GAUGAACGCUGGCGGCGUGCCUAACACAUGCAAGUCGAGCGAAGCACUUUGCUUAGAUUCUUCGGAUGAAGAGGAUUGUGACUGAGCGGCGGACGGGUGAGUAACGCGUGGGUAACCUGCCUCAUACAGGGGGAUAACAGUUAGACAUGACUGCUAAUACCGCAUAAGACCACAGCACCGCAUGGUGCGGGGGUAAAAACUCCGGUGGUAUGAGAUGGACCCGCGUCUGAUUAGCUAGUUGGUAAGGUAACGGCUUACCAAGGCGACGAUCAGUAGCCGACCUGAGAGGGUGACCGGCCACAUUGGGACUGAGACACGGCCCAAACUCCUACGGGAGGCAGCAGUGGGGAAUAUUGCACAAUGGGGGAAACCCUGAUGCAGCGACGCCGCGUGAGCGAAGAAGUAUUUCGGUACGUAAAGCUCUAUCAGCAGGGAAGAAAAUGACGGUACCUGACUAAGAAGCACCGGCUAAAUACGUGCCAGCAGCCGCGGUAAUACGUAUGGUGCAAGCGUUAUCCGGAUUUACUGGGUGUAAAGGGAGCGUAGACGGAUGGGCAAGUCUGAUGUGAAAACCCGGGGCUCAACCCCGGGACUGCAUUGGAAACUGUUCAUCUAGAGUGCUGGAGAGGUAAGUGGAAUUCCUAGUGUAGCGGUGAAAUGCGUAGAUAUUAGGAGGAACACCAGUGGCGAAGGCGGCUUACUGUACAGUACUGACGUUGAGGCUCAAAGCGUGUGGACCCACAGGAUCAGAGGCGAAGUCGUCGAGGGCAAGUUUUCGUGGAUUCCCGCUGGGGGGGGGCCGGCCACCUUAGGGGGGCCCGGGGGAACUUUGUGCCUGGGUUCC